GAAAUGCGAUAAGUAAUGUGAAUUGCAGAAUUCAGUGAAUCAUCGAAUCUUUGAACGCACAUUGCGCCCGCCAGUAUUCUGGCGGGCAUGCCUGUCCGAGCGUCAUUUCAACCAUCAAGCCCCCGGGCUUGUGUUGGGGACCUGCGGCUGCCCGCAGGCCCUGAAAACCAGUGGCGGGCUCGCUGUCACACCGAUCGUAGUAGCAAUCACCUCGCUCAGGGCGUGCUGCGGGUUCCGGCCGUUAAACAGCCUUACAAAACCCAAGGUUGACCUCGGAUCAGGUAGGAAGACCCGCUGAACUUAAGC
rnacentral:misc_RNA from 1 species